rnacentral:lncRNA from 1 species
CUCUUUUGUUUCUCUUUGAAGACUCUUGUUGACUCAUGACUAUCCAAAUCUGUGUAAAAAUAAGACAAAAGAAGCUUCUUAGUGCAAAAUUUUCAAAUGUGAAGAACAAAAACAAUGAAAGUGAGAAGAACAAACAACAAUAGGAUCAGUAGCUGAAGCAUAUUAUCAAGAAUAAUUCUCCUCUUGUUUCUUAUUUGAAAAAAAUUGCUGGUCAAGAAAUCACUUUUCAACCAUCCAACAAGGAAAAUUCUAGCUCAGGGAAGAUGAAUAACAAGCAAUGGAUUCGAGCUGAAGUUGAUUAACUAAUUUAUAUCUUAACUAGUUUGAAAUCUAACUUUCGAGAGCCUGCUACUCAAUGGGAUUUUAGAGAAAUGGCAGAAGAUGCAAAGAGAAGUAUAACAAAGCAAUAAACAAAGAAUCUUAAUUACUAAUAUAUCUAUAGUACGUACCAACAUUAGCAAGAAAAUAUUCCAGAACAAAUAAGCAGAAAUCAAACAACUAGCAGUAGCAAAUAGGCAGGAAUCCAAAUAGAGUCCAAUCGACAUUCAUACUUUAUAUGAUGCAACUCAAAAAGGUAUUUAUUACUCACUANNNNNNNNNNNNNNNNNNNNNNNNNNNNNNNNNNNNNNNNNNNNNNNNNNNNNNNNNNNNNNNNNNNNNNNNNNNNNNNNNNNNNNNNNNNNNNNNNNNNNNNNNNNNNNNNNNNNNNNNNNNNNNNNNNNNNNNNNNNNNNNNNNNNNNNNNNNNNNNNNNNNNNNNNNNNNNNNNNNNNNNNNNAGGCAGAUCAAUGAUAUCAACAGGGAGAUCUUCUCUCGACCAUCUAACAUCUACAUCGAGCACUCUUUCUGAUGAACCAAUGUCAUCAUUAGUCUCUCGCCAAAAUGUUUCUUCAAUAUUAGGACAAUUCUCUUCCUCCAAAUCAUACAAAUCCACUGGGACUUUAUUUCUUGCAUAAUAUACAUUUUUCUCAAUUGGGUCUUCCACAUAAAAAACUUGAUGCACUUGAGAUGCUAGUACAAAAGGAUCAUUUGUGCUGCAUAUUUUAUUGAAGUAUACCCGAGUCAAUCCAUAUUCAUCAACUUCAUUAUGAAACCAAUCACAUCUAAAAAGUACAACACUAAAGCAACACCAAUAAUCAAUCUCAAUGAUAUCCUGAAUAAUUCCGUAAUAGAUAACCAUUCCAUCAAUAGGAUUUUGGUCCCUAGCACUAGCAAAACUAUCUGUUGUUGCUGACAAAGUCACUCCACUAUUUUGAGUCUUGCAAGGAUCAUCCCGUGUCUUUGUAUGAAAUCUAUAUCCAUUAAUAAAAUAUCCAGUAUAUCUUUUAGCCACAAAAUUAGGCCCUUUAGCUAGCCAUCUUAAGUGAUUGGACACUUCAAUAUUUUUAACUUUAUCCCUAAACCAAUCACUGAAUUCUCUACUAUGGAUCUGUGCUUUUACCCAUGCAUUUCCUCUGGUACGAUUAUCAAUUAAAUUCUUAUGUUCCCUGCAAGCAUGAUAUGCAAUUUAAACAAUGUAUAUUUAUUAAUGGAAUUUAAAACACAUUAUCAUAACAUAUAAAUGAUUUUUAAAAACAAAUGACUAUUUUAUCUUACUUUAUGAAUGUCUCUACUUUUUCAUCUCCAGUAUUGAACAAAGCAUAUCGAUGAGCUUCAAACCACUCAUGAUGCUCCAUGUUAAAAGUCUUUCCUUUCCUAUUAUUCAUACUUCCGAUUGGAUGACCUGUCUUAGGAAAUAAAGGUGAAGCAUCUCUUUCCUCUGUUUGAUUGUCCUCAUCAUCCUCGGUUUGAUACCUACUAAAAUGUUGUCUUCACUAUAUCAGGUAGGUAUCUCGAAAUAAAGGUCAAACACUCUAUAGCUGAAAAAACCCUCUACUAUUGCCCCUUCUGGAUUUUUUCGAUUACGAACAAGCCCCUUGAAGUCACACAUAGUUCUUUCAGUAGAAUACAUCCAACGCAAAUGAGUCGGGCCUCCAAGCUUAAUUUCAUCCACUAAAUGAAUAGGCAAAUGUGUCAUUAUAUCAAAAAAGGAUGGAGGAAAAAUCUUUUCAAGCUCACAUUCUAUAUCUAUGAUUUCAUCCUUCAUCUUCUCAAGAUCACUUCUUCUUAUAACCUUACUACAUAUGGCUCUAAAAUAAUUUCCCAACCUAAUCAAGACCAAAGACACAUUCUUGGGCAACACUUUUCUGACAGCAAUCUGGAGCAAGUAAUGUAAUAUGAAAUGAGCAUCAUGGUUUUUGUAUCCUGAUACUUUCAUAUCUUCAAUUUGCACACGACUUGAUAUAUUAGAGGCAAAUUCUUUUGGUAAUUUGGCAUCUUUUAAAACAGUGCAAAAUAAUCUUUUCUCCUCUGGUUUCAUAGAGAAACAAGCUUUAGCCAAAUGAAUAUUUCCAGUAUCAUAAUCUUUUACUGGUUGAAGCUCUUUGCGUAUCCCCAUCUCAUGUAAGUCAUAGCGAGAGUUUAUAUGAUCUUUGGACUUUCCAAGUAUAUCCAAUAAAGUCCCAAGCAAAGUGUCACAAAUAUUCUUCUCUAUGUGCAUCACAUCAAGAUUGUGCCUCAAUUUGUUGGUUGCCCAAUACGGCAACUCAAAAAAUAUGGAUUUUUUUCCAUGGACCAUCAUUCUUUCGUUUUCUUUUCUUUUGGCUCUUUCCAAAAACAUUAUUGAAUUCACGAAGUUCUUCAAGAACUUGUACGCCUGAUAAGGGAGUAGGUGCAACUUUAUGCUCUUCUUUACCAUUAAAGGAUUUUUUAUCUCUUCUAUAUGGAUGAUCAUGAGGUAAAAAUGCUCGAUGACCCAUAUAACACAUCUUACGACUAUGUUUGAGAUAUUGGGAACAAGUAUUGUGAUUACAAGUGGGGCAUGCCCAUUUCCCCUUGGUACUCCAUCCGGAAAGCAUUGCCAAUGCUGGAAAAUCACUAAUUGUCCACAAUAAAGCUGCACGCAUCAUAAAUGUUUUGAUUAGUUACAACAUCAUAUGUUUCCACUCCCACUUCCCAUAGUUCCUUCAACUCUGCAAUCAGUGGUUGUAAGUAUACAUCUAUAUCAUUUCCAGGAGACGAUGGACCUGGAAUAAUCAUUGACAACAUUAUAUACUCCGACUUCAUGCAAAUCCACGGUGAUAAGUUAUAAUUCAUCAACAUAACUGGCCAUGUGCUAUGGGAAAUGCUCAUAGUUCGGAAUGGAUUAAAACCAUCGCUUGAAAGACCCAAUCUAACAUUAUGAGCAUCACUAGCAAAGUCAGGGUGCAAGGAAUCAAAAUCCUUCCAAGCUUCCCCAUCAGCAGGAUGUCUUAAAUUUCCAUCUUUGGGUCGUUCAGUAUCAUGCCAUCUCAUAGCUACAGAUGUUUCAAAACACAUGAAUAUCCUCUGAAGCCUAGGUUUUAAAGGAAAGUACCUUAAAACCUUUGCUGGAAUUUUAGUGACCUUAUUAGUCAAGUCAUCACGAACAUUCUUCCAUCUAGAAGAUCCACACACUGAGCACUUGUCUAACUUUGCAGUGUCAUUCCAGAAUAACAUGCAAUCGUUAGUACAUGCAUGAAUUUUUUCAUAAUGAAGACCCAAAUCUUUUAUCACCUUUUUUGCCUUGUAGAAAGACUCGGGUAUCUGAGCAAAGGGAAAUGCCUCUUUUAUCAAGUCUAACAAAUCUGAAAAGGCUACAUUACUCAACUUGUGAAUGCAUUUAAACAAGUAUAACCGAAUGGUGAAAUUCAACUUAGAAAAGUUCUUACACCUUGGAUACAACUCUUGUUUCCCUUCUUCCACUAAUUUAAAGAAUCUUUUUGCAUCUUCAGAUAGUCCCUCUCUUACUCCUUCAUGCCUCAGGUCAUCUGCUACAUUUCUAAAAGUAUCUAGAAGUAGUUUAUCAAUACCGUCUUGUCUGCCGAAUGUUUCAUCAUCAUUGGUUGGAUGUGGCGUAUUUCUUGAGGAAAACCCUUCUUCAUGGAAAACCCAUUUGGUGUAUCCAUGAACAAACCCAUAACAAAUCAAGUGAUCCUCUACCACAUUUCGACAAUGCCAAUAACGAUUAAAGCACUUUUUACAAGGACAUAAUAUUUCAUCUCCUUGGGAAGCUCGUUCAAAUGCCUUAUCUAGGAAAUCAUUAACUCCAUGAAUAUACUCAUCGGUGGAUCUUCGGAGAUCCAUCCAACUUUUAUCUCCAACAUCCAUUGGAUAUCCUAUGUUACAUGAGCAAAACAUUCAACAAAACAAUUCAUGAGUACAAAUCAUGAUUGUAAAUGAUCUAAUAUAGGUCAUUAGGUAGUGCAAUUUAGUUACAUAACCUAUAUUUUACUUGAAAGUUUAAUUCCUCAAUUUAUUCUAUAGUACAUUGCAGGUACUGCCUUACAACACAGAAAAAAUGACAGAUUAUGGUGACUACUUUGUUUCUUUUCAAGAUCACUUGAGCUGACCUUCAAGUUGGUUAUGCUUUAAGUCUGAGUACAUUUAGAUUAAUUCUAAACAAAAAAACAACAUGAUUGCAUAAAGUGUGCUGUGAGGACAAAUUUAGCAUUUGAUUUAAGUUGCCUUUAGCUUGAGAAUUUGAGAAGCAUCUAUGCACCUUUUUUGCUUUUCACUGAAAGGUAUAGCUCAUGAUUGUAUAAUUGUAUUCAUAUAUUUUACAUUCUACUGCAGCGAUAGCAAUAUUCCAGCUUUGUUCAUCCAAAAUACUUGAUGAAGAAGUUGAAUCUAUCUAGCGAAAAUGAGGUAAUUAUCUUUUGUUUUGGCAGUUUAGCAAUCAAUAAAUGUUAUUCACAUUUCCUGUAAUUCAUUAUUCUGUGGGUUGAAAAAAUUUAUGCAAGGGCAUGAUUUCCUGUAAUUCAUUAUUCUGUUGAGUGUAAUGUUGCUCCUGUCAAAUUUAGAACUUGGUUUUCAAGAAAUGUCCUGAUGAGAACAUUUUAGAUCACUUUAAACUAUUAACCAAACAGCAGUACAUAUGAAAGUAUCCCAGGGUAGUACAUAUCCUAGAGCUAAUGAGCAAGAGUAUAAUUGAUAUAACAGAGGGCACUACAUCUUUACUGCAUCUACUACAUAUUCAUUCACAACAACUACGAUAAUAUUAGGUGAACUCACUAGGUUGAGGAAAGGAGAAAUGAUCUGGAACACUAUUAUGCUGCAUAGACAAAGAGUUAUAUUAUGCUUGGCCUAUUUAGAACAAGUUGCUAGCAAAGUUCCGGCAACAAAAAUAAAAUGCUCCACUUAAAGGGAAUGUGAAGUUUCUAUACCUUGGAGGAUAGAGAUGUCGAAAACGUACUUCUUAUCAGCCAUAAAACUACAGAAAUCACAAUGGUCAUAAAGUGAUGAAACAGAUGCAUACAUUGUGGUUUUCCAGAACAUGGAAGCUUAGGAACAUAAAAUUUUUCCAACACAUAAAUAAACAUACUAGAAUAGUCAUUACGUAGAUAAUAUUAAAAAUUAAAAGAGAAAACAUGAGCAAUAGGUUUCAACAUCCAAAAUCCAAUAAAAUGGAGUUUUCACCAAUUAUUUUAUAUAUAUUCCACAUCAGUUUAAAACAUAUUUUGUUCAACUUAAACGUAUCAUCUAUGACAGUAGCUAUAUCAGUAUACUUUGGCAACAUUCAUAAUGAUAAGCAAAUCAAAAUACUUCAAACUUUAGACCAAUGAAAGUUUUUAGUUCACAUAAAUAGACCAAACUCAUAAUGCAAAUCAAAAUACUCAAAGCCCUAGGACAAAAUCAACUACAAAACAUUAGUUGUUCUAUAAAAACGAAACCCAACUUCACAAUGAUUUUUCACAGAGUUAUCGAAUCUUCAAAAAAUUUGAGUUACAAACUCUAAACUACAAAUGGAUUAUGUCAAAUAGACCUAAAUCAGAACAAAUAACAUACAUUUCAACAAACCCAUUUGUUAUUCUUUAAAAUUUUUUAGAAGCCCUUAAAUGGAAUUUCUGAUUUUGGAAAAUAGUACAUGUAUAACCAAAUAGAGACAAUGAGGACUUAGAAAUCACCUUAAAAACAGUAUUCCUUUAUCUGCAGAAGCUUAAUUUUGAAUAAGACUACUUUUGGAGAAGAAGACCACUGAAGAUGAACACUUCACACUGGAGAAGAAGACCACUGUAGCUUAUCACUGAAACUGAUUUCUUCACCGGAGCUCAAAAUUUGCUGUCGAAGAUGAAGGAGUCACCGAAGUUCUGGAAUUUUAGGGCUUUAAUUUUGAUUAUUGGAGAAGAAGACCAUGCACUCAUCGCUUUGAUUUUGGUUUAUUG